rnacentral:rRNA from 1 species
GACAGAGGGGGCAAGCGUUGCUCGGAAUUACUGGGCGUAAAGGGCGCGUAGGGGGGAUGGCAAGUCGGUCGUGAAAUCCCUCGGCUCAACCGAGGAACGUCGAUCGAUACUGCUGUUCUUGAGGAGUGCAGAGGAGACUGGAAUUCCCGGUGUAGCGGUGAAAUGUGUAGAGAUCGGGAGGAACACCGGUGGCGAAGGCGGGUCUCUGGGCAAUUCCUGACGCUGAGGCGCGAAAGCGUGGGGAGCAAACGGG